ACUACUCCCCUCAUCGAUACCAAACUCCCAUCGUCUAACACCCAAAAUCUCCUUGUCGAUACACCAAAAAUCCCCUUUCUGAUCUCUUUUCUUUUUGCAUCUUUGCCGAGUUAAAGAUUAAUGGCUGAGUUUCAUCAAAUACCUCUUCAUUAGACCUCAAUAAUUAUCAAACCCUAGAGUACCCGAAGCCCAAAACUAUGAGGAUAGUCGGGGACUUCUCCGGCACUUCUUCAGGGACUUCCGUCGGUUUUCUGGCACUUCUCCGGCACUUCUUCAGGGACAGUUGCUUCGCCGGCACUCCUUCCCCAAAUCCCCAAAUUCUAAAAUCAGAUUUGUGCUCGAAUCAGAGAAGCCCAAAAUCACCAUAGCAUGUGUUGCAGUUUAUAAGGCAUUAUACAAGAGCUUUGGUAGCUUUGCUGCAGAUGUCGUUGCCGCCAUAGACCAGGCAGCCCAGGAUGGUGUGGACAUAAUUAAAUUUCAAAGGAAGUUAUCCCCGAUACUUAUCUCCAAUCGCAUUCCAGCGGGAUCACUUGCAUCUUUGCGAAAUUAAAGGGUUUAGUUGUUGACAAUAAAAAGAACCUUUCAAGCUACAAGGUCAAAUGAAAAUGAAGAACGACAAUCAGAAGCUGGAUUACCUCCAUCCUUGCGAAACCAAAAGCUUUCGUUGUUGAUAACAAAAAGAGUCUUGAAUAUAAGGUCAAAUGCAAAUGAAGAACGACAAUCAGAAUAAGGAUCUCAAUUGCAAGAACAAGUGCAGCAAGUGACACGGAAUAAAAGGAUGCUAUGAGACAAAAUAUUACAAUGAACGUCAUCGCACGACUUCAGCGUCUGAACCCAGAAUUGUGACUUGAUCCUGACAUGUUAAGGUUCAGUGCACGUUCACACGUUCACCUGCACGUUCACACGUUCACCUAUAGAUGCUUCCUCUGCACAACAAGUUGCUAUUCAACUAAACAGUCGACCAUCUGCUGGUAGUAACAAUCAAGAUCAGUACGUACCAAAUGUUAUACAUGUUCUUCUAUUUCUUCUACUUCUCCUCCUUCCUUGGUUGGGAUUUUGCUUUGGUUCAAGGCAGAGUGGAUAUGGUAAUAUCUUUUUUUUCUUCUUCUAUUUUUGUUUUAAUGCUUCAAAAAUUAAUUAGUAAUUUCUGAAAUCACAAUUUUACUUCUUUUCUAUCUAAUUAAAGCAUAAAAUUGUUAGCGUGCAAGAGAAGCUGAAUUUUAAGGGGUUUUUAAUGUUAAUUUUCCUGAAUCCUUGUUUCUCAAAAAAUUACUAGAAGCCUUGGUCCUUGGACAAUGCUGGAGGCAUUACUUGUAGUUCAUACAUGAAUAUGCCCCAAAUCAGGUAAAUCACUUUUACAGUCUCGCCUUUGAUCAAACUUUGAAUUCUUAAUGCUAAGGUAUGCAGUACAACAACAAACCACUAACAAAAAUAACACUAAUCACAUAGUAUAUAUAUCUAUAAUAAACAGAAGCUUUAUAUAUGAUGAAAGUAACAGUAGUUAAUAUACCUGAAGAAUUAGCAAGUAAACAAGUUGUCGCCCAAAUUCCUCAUUCUAUCAUAUAUCUGUGACUGUCGUCUUUGUGAUAAUAAUAUACCAACAUUUCCAAGCAAGCAUUUAUAAAUGAACUUACUAAUGAGUCUUCCCAUCAUAGCUUGAUAGUUUGAAUGUUUUGGUCUUUGGUAAUAAUAUCAGAUUGUUAUAAUGUUGCGUAUAGUUUGUUGAGAUGAAUAAGUUGGAUUAAUAAAAGAAGAACGAAAACAGUUAAAUGCUUGAGUAUUCUUAGACCGGAUUCUGUUGAAGGGUGAUAACUUUAUUUAUCCUCUUUUGUAGGUGGAGUAGAUCAAGAAAUGGAUGAUGAAGACGAUGAAGAACUAGACUUUACUUGAAUUGAAUUUUGUAUUAUUAUAGAUGAAUGUUAUAGAAUCUUUUGUUACUAACAUUUUUGAAACUUAUUUACUCUUUUGAAAUGUACUAAACUUAUGCACUCAUGGGGUAGAACAUUUG